GGAAAUAGAUAAUUAAAGAAGUAAACAUGUUAGUAACUGAACCUUCUUCAAAAAGGUCUAAACGGUAAGCUACAUAAGCAAUAUAUUGAUUUUCUCCUCCAGCAACCGGAUCAAUGUGGUAGCAUCGUCCUUUGUAACGAUCAAGGCUGGUAAGUCCAUCGGUCCACACAGU